UCCAGAAUUAGGAGGAUGCUGGCCUC
rnacentral:piRNA from 1 species